UACGUAGGGUGCAAGCGUUAAUCGGAAUUACUGGGCGUAAAGCGUGCGCAGGCGGUUUUGUAAGUCAGAUGUGAAAUCCCCGGGCUUAACCUGGGAACUGCGUUUGAAACUACAAGGCUAGAGUAUGUCAGAGGGGGGUAGAAUUCCACGUGUAGCAGUGAAAUGCGUAGAGAUGUGGAGGAAUACCGAUGGCGAAGGCAGCCCCCUGGGAUAAUACUGACGCUCAUGCACGAAAGCGUGGGGAGCAAACAGG
rnacentral:rRNA from 1 species